UCGCAAUAAAUGCAAGUGAUGUUCUCCUGCAGCCUGAGGGAAUUGAAGAUGGUUGCUUCCAACACUAGGUGGAGCUCCUCCACGCAAGGUAUCUCAACCCCUGGGGUCAACCUCCCACGGUGACCUGCAGGAGUCACCACUGCAGGUAGACUCAACCCACCCAGACCCAAACCAGGAAGUCAGGGGUGAACAAAACAACCCCAAAAAGACAAAAAAAAAAGGUCCCGUCGCAGACCAACUUCGCCCAGGAGUCGCAGGGAGCCAGAGUCCUCCACCGCCGGUCCUCAGGCACGUU